rnacentral:lncRNA from 1 species
AAAGGGAAAGGUGUUUUUAGUCUAGGUACUUCUCAAAGAGGACAGGAGACAGAACUCACCACUUAUUCCUGCUACAUUUCCCUCCUUUUCCCUCCCCGUACACAGAGCUCUGGGAGACAUAUGGCCAAAGCACCCCGCCAGCCAGGGAUUCAUCCCACAGCCGGUUUUCCUUGUGGCAGCUCAUAAAAUGCUGCAUGAUAUUUCAUUCACAUCAGAAUGUGCGAGUGUGAGAAAAUACUGAAACGAGGACAAGAAAAUCAGGAACGAGGCGCUUGUCCCCGGAUGAGUCCCCCGCGGAGCCCGGUAAGCAGAGCCUUUGCUGGGAGAACUGUGGGGACUGGUGACCCACAGGUGAGCAGCACGGAGCGCGCAGGACCCGAGGGCACCGCCUGCCUCCUUCCUCCCCUCACUUGCUCUCUGUGGAGAAAAAGAGCAGGGACUGGUCAGAUGUGGGCAAAGGGUUCUGGAACUGCUGGCCUUCUUUUGUUCCUUUGUCUCAAGGCCUGGGUGAGUGGAACAGAUUUAUUUGUGCUGGGAAAACUAUAUGUUACGGUAACCAGCUCCCUCUUUUCAUUUCUUGGCUUCAUCAAGCCAUCAGCCUGUUGGAGUCCAAGGUUUUGGUAAAAAUGCAAAAACAUGCUUUCUAUUAUAAUCUGCAAUUUUUCAGAGGAGAACCCUCAUAAGUGUUCAAUACAGCUUUUAUAUACAGGAUGCAUAAAGUGCGCUAAAUAUACACGCAGUCUUGUGCUCUGCUGCUCUGAAAAGCAGGCUUUAAAAACUAGAAUUUCAAAGCAGCCUGCUUGAGGACAUUUAAUUCCGCCUGGGACGUGGCUGGGUGAGACCUCGCGGCAACUCAGGCACUGUGUUGACUUUGUGCACCUUGAACCACAAGGCAGGAAUUCACAGCAAACCAGCUUCUUAGUAUAGCUCCAAUAAAAUCAGAAGCAUCCAGGCCAGGUAUGAAACAAGGCCUUCAUUUAUAGAAGAAAAGUGUUAUAUAGAGUGACAUUUAACUGCUGAGGAAGCUGGUCCUCCUUCAUUCGAUAGCAACAGCCUGUAGGAAUUUUCUGGGCUCUUUUACAUGUCCCCAAACCUUCUCAAUGAACAAAACUGACAUAUGAGUUGUGUUACUUACCUACAUUUUUAACAAAAAUGGGCUUUUCCCCCAUUUUAUCUGCCCCCCAAAACAUAAAACGAUGUAUUUCAAAUAAUCAUUUGUGGAUUUAAAAAAACUUGUUUCUCACCCCGUAUCUUAAGAGGCACAGGACACCAUCCAGUUUGAGCAAGGGCUUUUGUGGUGAUGCUGCUCCGAAUUCUUCAGCUCGUAGGAUGCUUGUGUGACAGGAUGAUUUGUCAAGACAUUAUUUUUCCUGUUUUCCCCUUUUCUCUAGUUUCAGGCAGAAAGGCAGUUUUCUGUAUUCCCUUGCCCCAGGGGAUGUUCCUGUCACUUGCC